rnacentral:tRNA from 1 species
GGGCAGGUACCCAAGCGGCCAAAGGGGGCUGACUGUAAAUCAGCUGGCAACGCCUUCGGUGGUUCGAAUCCGCCCCUGCCCACCA